UACGGAGAGUGCAAGCAUUAAUCGGAAUUAUUGGGCGUAAAGGGCGCGUAGGCGGGAUAGCAAGUCAGAUGUGAAAUUCCGGAGCUCAACUUCGGAGCUGCAUUUGAAACUACUAAUCUAGAGGGUUGACGGAGAAAACGGAAUUCCACGUGUAGCGGUGAAAUGCGUAGAUAUGUGGAAGAACACCUGUGGCGAAAGCGGUUUUCUAGUUGAUACCUGACGCUGAGGCGCGAGAGCAAGGGGAGCAAACAGG
rnacentral:rRNA from 1 species